UGGUGCCAGCAGCCGCGGUAAUUCCAGCUCCAAUAGCGUAUAUUAAAGUUGUUGCAGUUAAAAAGCUCGUAGUUGAAUUUCGGGGUUAGUAAGUUGGUCAUGCCUCCGGUAUGCACGGGCUUUACUGAUUCCUCCUUCUUGAUGAACUGUAAUGUCAUUAAUUUGGUGUUGCAGGGAAUCAGGACUGUUACUUUGAAAAAAUUAGAGUGUUUAAAGCAGGCAUACGCUUGAAUACAUUAGCAUGGAAUAAUGAAAUAGGACGUUUGAUCCUAUUUUGUUGGUUUCUAGGAUUGACGUAAUGAUUAAUAGGGAUAGUUGGGGGCAUUAGUAUUCAAUUGUCAGAGGUGAAAUUCUUGGAUUUAUUGAAGACUAACUACUGCGAAAGCAUUUGCCAAGGAUGUUUUCAUUAAUCAAGAACGAAAGUUAGGGGAUCGAAGACGAUCAGAUACCGUCGUAGUCUUAACCAUAAACUAUGCCGACUAGGGA
rnacentral:rRNA from 1 species